rnacentral:tmRNA from 1 species
GGGGGUGCACCGGUUUCGACAGGUGUGGUUCGUCGAGUCAAAGAGCAUGCCUGAGGGGAAACGUGGCUCAGUUAAAAAUACGUUUCAAACUUUAAUCGGCAACGAUUACGCUUUAGCUGCUUAAUUAUAAAAGUAGCCGGUGAACUCCAGGUUGUUGGUGUCUGGAAGGAUCCGUCAUUUUACCAACUGUGGACCAAGGCUUUUAUACUCGGAGAGUCUAGGUUCAAGAUCAAUCGAGUUGCGAUUCUAAAAGGCUGUCCGUAAUCUUUUAGAGUAAGAGGAUUAAUUACAGGACUAAGCAUGUAGGGGCUUUUUCCGGCGCACAUUUGGACGCGAGUUCGAUUCUCGCCACCUCCAUC